rnacentral:rRNA from 1 species
CGACCUCAGAGCAGGUGAGACUACC